GUCUUCUGGGAAAGCUUUCGCGGUAUGGGACGGGGUCGCGUCCUAUCAGCCUGACGGCGGGGUAACGGCCCACCGUGGCUUCGACGGGUAGCCGGCCUGAGAGGGCGACCGGCCACAUUGGGACUGAGAUACGGCCCAGACUCCUACGGGAGGCAGCAGUGGGGAAUAUUGCACAAUGGGCGCAAGCCUGAUGCAGCGACGCCGCGUGAGGGAUGGAGGCCUUCGGGUUGUAAACCUCUUUUAUCGGGGAGCAAGCGAGAGUGAGUUUACCCGUUGAAUAAGCACCGGCUAACUACGUGCCAGCAGCCGCGGUAAUACGUAGGGUGCAAGCGUUAUCCGGAAUUAUUGGGCGUAAAGGGCUCGUAGGCGGUUCGUCGCGUCCGGUGUGAAAGUCCAUCGCUUAACGGUGGAUCCGCGCCGGGUACGGGCGGG
rnacentral:rRNA from 1 species